ACUAUUAUGGUAAGUAUGGUGUAU
rnacentral:siRNA from 1 species